GGCUCAGGAUGAACGCUAGCGGCAGGCUUAAUACAUGCAAGUCGUGGGGCAGCAUGAGUAGCAAUACUUGAUGGCGACCGGCAAACGGGUGAAGGAACACGUACACAACCUUCCUUCAAGCGGGGAAUAGCCCAGAGAAAUUUGGAUUAAUACCCCAUAAUAUAUUUGAUAAGGCAUCUUAUUAAUAUUAAAGCUUCGGCACUUGAUGAUGGGUGUGCGGCUGAUUAGAUAGUUGGCGGGGUAACGGCCCACCAAGUCUACGAUCAGUAGCUGAUGUGAGAGCAUGAUCAGCCACACGGGCACUGAGACACGGGCCCGACUCCUACGGGAGGCAGCAGUAAGGAAUAUUGGACAAUGGACGAAAGUCUGAUCCAGCCAUGCCCGCGUGAAGGAUUAAGGUCCUCUGGAUUGUAAACUUCUUUUAUAUGGGACGAAAAAAGGGCAUUCUUGUUCACUUGACGGUACCAUAUGAAUAAGCACCGGCUAACUCCGUG
rnacentral:rRNA from 1 species